UUUCGAGAGUUCAUAAACGACGGAUGAGCAAUGGUGGGUUCCGGUGUCGAAUUUGACACUUCCGGGAAUCCGGAUCAGAACGAUUAUCCGACGAUAAUCGUUUCGAUGUGAAGAGGUGCGUUUGCUGCCAAGAUACAUGAAUAUUUGUGUUUAGUGACAGCGGGUGACUCGUAGCGCGAGUCGGUGAGUUCCGGGGCAGUUUGUUGGUCCCGACGGAGUCCCGGUGUGAUUUUCAGGACUUACGGCGUAUUACGGCAAUCGGUUUUGGGAAAUCGAUUCCCGUAGAUUUAUUGGUGGGUAUUGUGAGUUGGUUCGUGGUUGUGGGUUGAAUG
rnacentral:lncRNA from 1 species